rnacentral:rRNA from 1 species
UGGGGAAUCUUGGACAAUGGGCGAAAGCCUGAUCCAGCAACGCCGCGUGAGUGAUGAAGGCCUUCGGGUCGUAAAGCUCUGUCGGUUGGAACGAAUAAAGGCCACCUAAUACGUGGCCUUAUGACGGUACCAGCAAAGGAAGCACCGGCUAACUCUGUGCCAGCAGCCGCGGUAAGACAGAGGGUGCAAGCGUUGUUCGGAAUUACUGGGCGUAAAGGGCGUGUAGGCGGUGGAGUGUGUCUGGUGUGAAAUCCCUCGGCUUAACCGGGGAACUGCAUUGGAAACUACUUUGCUAGAGUGCGAGAGAGGAAGGCGGAAUUCCCAGUGUAGAGGUGAAAUUCGUAGAUACUGGGAGGAACACCGGAGGCGAAGGCGGCCUUCUGGCUCGUAACUGACGCUGAGACGCGAAAGCGUGGGUAGCAAACAGGAUUAGAUACCCCUGUAGUCC